rnacentral:rRNA from 1 species
UACGAAGGGUGCGAGCGUUGUUCGGAUUUACUGGGCGUAAAGGGCGCGCAGGCGGCCGCUUUUGUCAGGCGUGAAAGCCCCGGGCUUAACCUGGGAACUGCGUUUGAUACGGUGUGGCUAGAGUUCGGGAGAGGAGAGUGGAAUUCCCAGUGUAGAGGUGAAAUUCGUAGAUAUUGGGAAGAACACCGGUGGCGAAGGCGGCUCUCUGGGCCUUACCUGACGCUGAGGCGCGAAAGCUAGGGGAGCGAACAGG